CGCACCCCUCAGUCGCCCCCGCCCCCCGCGGUUAUCGCGCCCACGCCGUCCACCCGAGGCCUGAGCUCCAAGCCACGAAGAAACCGUGGCCCCUGCGCCCUUGCCGUCGCCGUCGCCCAGCUCCGCAGCUGCCCGCGCCGUCGCCCUCUCCGUUGGCCGCGCGCCCAGCUAAGAGCUCCAAGGAAAUCAUGGCCCCUGCCCCUACCCCUGUGCCUUCGCCCUCGCCGUCACCGACGCCCAGCUUCCCCACGCUGCCCAGCUCGGCAGCUCCCCACGCGAGUCCCCGGGGCGCAAUCGCUGCCCGCGCCGUCGACCUCGCCAUUGGGUGCGCGCCUCCAGGUGCGGCCAUCGAGCUUCUUCAAGUUCUUCCUCGCGUGCCUCCAGGUGCGGCCAUCGAGCUUCUUUAAGUUCUUCCUCGUGCGCCAGGUGAGUCCAGGUGCGCCUCCAGGUGCGGCCAACCCCUUGAAUUCCCUCCGUCUGUGCAAAACCGAUCCCUUCUUUAAUUUGUAGUAUGUGAUGACACAUCCUUCUGUUGUAAGGGAUUUCCUUGCAUCAGCUUUUCUGUCUUGCAUCUGCACAAGGAACAGAUGGAUGUUGCCGCCAGUUCCUAGGCAACUCAUACGAACCCUGCUCCCUGCUCUGCUUGCUCUGCCUGCCAACCAUUUGUUUAGCUCAGAGCCCACUCUAUAUCUCUGCUGUCUGCAGCAAUGCCAAGGAUCUUCUUUAGUUGGGUUAUCUAGCCUUGUUGAAGCCAAUACGCCUAAUUUUGAUCAUCUGUAAGAUCAACAACAAAUAUCGUUGUGCUUAUUCUAUCCCUUCAUUGGGUUCUUAUUUUAUCAAUUUCAUUGCCCUGCUGUGGAGAUGGACAGUGGGAGCACAAUCAAACUCUCCUAUCUGAAGCGUGCCCCUUCACUGCAAGCUUGCUCUUGGUCCUCAGUUGCUGGUCACCUGGUGUAAUCAGCGGAGGGCAUAACAGACACAUGGCUGCCUCCAUCAUCCAAAGAUUGAGAAACUGGGCAUAGCAUGUCUAUUGCAAAUUAUAGCCUCAAGAAAGCCAUGUAGGCCUCACACCUCAAGAUCAAGUUUGACUAGAUGAUUCAGGUAUCUCUGGGGUUGGGAAUUGUGAUACAGGUAUUUUUUUUUAGUUCAGUACAGUUUUGGAAAAUUCCAAUAUGCUGAUGUAUGUAUUCUAGCAAGACAUGUCUUAGUAAUUCAGUUGUAGCCUAGAGGCUUCAUCUCAAGCACCUGCAGUAGGCUACCACCACUUUUUUUUUUGAAGAUCUUGUGCUUCCUAAUUUCCAUUAUGUCCUCAUUUGAUAAUGUUGUGCUUCCUUUGGCUAAGCAAAAUUUUAUUUAUUCAGAUCUUUUUUCAGUUCACAUGUAUUGGAUCAGCAACAAAAUUGUCAUCAUGUGGUUACAGGCUUCAGCAAUAUGGGUUGUGGGCGCAGAUCAGGGAAAGACUUUCUGAAGAAAUCAAAUUUAUGGACUACGUGAAUACCAAGGUCAUAAUAUUGCAAUCAGAGCCUUAUCAUUUUUUUCACCAAAGCAUCAUCUUGUUAGAGAAACACUAGAGCCUUUGGCUUUCAUUAAACCAAUGAAUAUUUUGAGCUCGUCCUAGGUUGGUUCUUUGAUUCACAGUUUCCUAAUCAAUAUUUGUCAGUAUUUUUAUCUUAUCGUGUGAUUCA